rnacentral:rRNA from 1 species
CACGUAGUUAGCCGGUGCUUCUUUACCCAUUACCGUCACUCACGCUUCGUCACAGGCGAAAGCGGUUUACAACCCGAAGGCCGUCAUCCCGCACGCGACGUUGCUGCAUCAGGCUUCCGCCCAUUGUGCAAUAUUCCCCACUGCUGCCUCCCGUAGGAGUCUGGGCCGUAUCUCAGUCCCAAUGUGGCCGGUCACCCUCUCAGGCCGGCUACCCGUCAAAGCCUUGGUAAGCCACUACCCCACCAACAAGCUGAUAAGCCGCGAGUCCAUCCCCAACCGCCGAAACUUUCCAACCCCCACCAUGCAGCAGGAGCUCCUAUCCGGUAUUAGCCCCAGUUUCCUGAAGUUAUCCCAAAGUCAAGGGCAGGUUACUCACGUGUUACUCACCCGUUCGCCACUCGAGCACCCCACAAAAGCAGGGCCUUUCGUCGACUUGCAUGUGUUAAGCACGCCGCCAGCGUUCGUCCUGAGCCAGGAUCAAACUCU